ACGCUCGACACCUACGGGAGGCAGCAGGUGGGGAAUAUUGCACAAUGGGGGAAACCCUGAUGCAGCAACGCCGCGUGAAGGAAGACGGUUUUCGGAUUGUAAACUUCUGUUCUUAGUAGAAGAUAGUGACGGUAGCUAAGGAGCAAGCCACGGCUAACUACGUGUCAGCAGCCGCGGUAAUCUGAGCGGGCUGGCAAGGC
rnacentral:rRNA from 1 species